AUGAUUGGAAGGCAAUAGAAGCUGUCUAUUUGGGUGACAUCAUCACUGGAGAGCAGGCUGCCCUGGCAGAAAAGACGAAGGAUAUACCAGUCCCAGUCUGACUUACCUCCAGAAGUGAUAGAAAAGUAGAGGGACAUUCAGCCCCAGCGUGAGCCACUCUUGCGCACACAGGAACAUAAUGCAGAAGAGGCUAUGGAUGGAGUAUUCUGGCAGCACCAGCUGAAGAGGGAGCAGAGACACGGCCCUGAGUUAGAGGAGGAAAACGCCACUCCUGCUUCUAUGGCAGCUGACUUCUGCCUGGACACUGCCUCUCACAGACGGUUGACACAAAGGCCCUCCCUGCAGCAACGUAGAGCCACUGCCCCAACACAGAUCCAUUUCUGAUACGCAUCAAGAGCCUACUAUGAGGUGUCAAACACUGUGGCAGGCACUGGAGGUGCCAGGAUGAGUUCAAUGAGCCUGGUGACAAUGUUCCAGGCACCCCCAGGCUGAUGGGAGAGACCGACAGCUGAACACUGGACCAUGCCGCAGCCAGCACUCACACACUGACUGAAGCUCUAGCGCUGGCUGGUCCCUUACAGGUGAGUACAGUUGGUCACAAAGGGUGUGGACAAAGAAGAAUCCAUGGAAAUUCAAACUCAACUCAACUCUCCAGGCUUUGAGCACCCAAUGCCCUGGAUUAAAUAUGGCAGGAGGCCCAGCAAAGACCUUACAAUAGAUCGGGAGAGAUAAACCGAAAACCUAAGUGACUAUAUAAUCCAAGGCUGAAUAUAGGGAGAAGCAAAAUAGAAGGAUAAGCAUAAUAGGGUCAAAGGAGGAGGGAGGCAGAUCAGCCAACACUAGCCCUUGCUGGGA
rnacentral:lncRNA from 1 species